rnacentral:rRNA from 1 species
GACGAACGCUGGCGGCGUGCUUAACACAUGCAAGUCGAACGGAAAGGCCCUGCUUUUGUGGGGUGCUCGAGUGGCGAACGGGUGAGUAACACGUGAGUAACCUGCCCUUGACUUUGGGAUAACUUCAGGAAACUGGGGCUAAUACCGGAUAGGAGCUCCUGCUGCAUGGUGGGGGUUGGAAAGUUUCGGCGGUUGGGGAUGGACUCGCGGCUUAUCAGCCUGUUGGUGGGGUAGUGGCUUACCAAGGCUUUGACGGGUAGCCGGACUGAGAGGGUGACCGGCCACAUUGGGACUGAGAUACGGCCCAGACUCCUACGGGAGGCAGCAGUGGGGAAUAUUACACAAUGGGCGGAAGCCUUAUGCAGCAACGCCGCGUGCGGGAUGACGGCCUUCGGGUUGUAAACCGCUUUCGCCUGUGACGAAGCGUGAGUGACGGUAAUGGGUAAAGAAGCACCGGCUAACUACGUG